rnacentral:lncRNA from 1 species
CGACCUUGAAGCGGCAUCCGAGGAGAUGUGGCCACGGGGCAGGCGACCGACACCAGCGAGUCCAGAGGGCCAGCGUGUGCACCACUGUGUGUCUCCAGAGACUUCAGGAAGCAGCCACCACGCCCGAGGAAUGCAGGAAGAUGGACACACGGCUGGGGAAGUACAAUGAAAGGCCAAGUAGGCAGCCUGUUCUCCUCAGAUCAGUCCCCCACGAACACUCAUUCCCGAGGACUCAUCCAAUACUAAUAAGAGAAUGCUCUUGUUUUUGAAGAAUUUUCUGAAAGCCAUCCUGACAAAUUAAGUAGAGUAUGCUGAAGAUAGUCAGACUUUGUUUUUAAGAAUUGAAUAUUCUGGAAGAGGCUCUUCAGUCCAAUCUUUAGUUCUCUCCACAGAGCAAACGAAGUGAAGUGCUGAAGGCCUGGAGCCCGAGCUGUUCCCACACGGACUCCAGGACAGUUAAGGCAGGGUUGCCUUAACUAAAUCUCUGACAACUGUUUCUUCUGUCUUUCUCCUAAAAAUGGAAUGCAGGCCAUCUAUUCUAGGGAAAUAAAGGAUUCUAGUUAUGUGAA